UACGGAGGGUGCAAGCGUUGUCCGGAUUUAUUGGGUUUAAAGGGUGCGUAGGUGGCCUUAUAAGUCAGUGGUGAAAGCCUGCAGCUUAACUGUAGGACUGCCAUUGAUACUGUAGGGCUUGAGUAUUGAUGAGGUAGGCGGAAUUGAUAGUGUAGCGGUGAAAUGCAUAGAUAUUAUCAAGAACACCGAUUGCGAAGGCAGCUUACUAAGGAAUAACUGACACUGAGGCACGAAAGCGUGGGGAUCAAAC
rnacentral:rRNA from 1 species